UGUGUGUGUGUGUGUGCACAGGGAUGUGUGUGUGUGAGCACAGGUGUGUGUGUCUGUGUGUCUAUGUGUCUCUGUGUCUGUGUGUGCGUGUGCACAGGGAUGUGUGUGUGUUUCUGUCUGUCUGUGUGCAGCUGUUGUACACUGUGAGGAUGGCUGAGGUGCUGAGGAAGGGUUGUGUGUGUUGUGCACAGUUCACCAAUGAGCCUGCCUGUGUGAGGUUGAGAACGGCUGCAACUGUGUGUGAGCAGCUGUGAAGAGCGGUUUGGCUGUACACAGAUACAGCUACACGUAGCUACAGCUCUGAGUGUGCAAUGUUACACACAGCUCUGUGUGUGUGCACUGUUACACACAGCUCUGUGUGUGUGCACUGUUACACAGCUCUGUGUGUGCACUGUUACACAGCUCUGUGUGUGUGCACUGUUACACAGCUCUGUGUGUGUGCACUGUUACACACAGCUCUGUGUGUGUGUGCACUGUUACACAGCUCUGUGUGUGCACUGUUACACAGCUCUGUGUGUGCACUGUUACACACAGCUCUGUGUGUGUGCACUGUUACACAGCUCUGUGUGUCUGCACUGUUACACAGCUCUGUGUGUGUGCACUGUUACACACAGCUCUGUGUGUGUGCACUGUUACACACAGCUCUGUGUGUGCACUGUUACACACAGCUCUGUGUGUGUGCACUAUUACACACAGCUCUGUGUGUGCACUGUUACACAGCUCUGUGUGUGUGCACUGUUACACACAGCUCUGUGUGUGUGCACUGUUACACAGCUCUGUGUGUGCACUGUUACACAGCUCUGUGUGUGAGCACUGUUACACAGCUCUGUGUGUGUGCACUGUUACACAGCUCUGUGUGUGCACUGUUACACAGCUCUGUGUGCUUGUACAGGGCUGUGCACGCCCCUGUGAGGCUGUUUGGGGCUGUACACACCCUGUUUAAGGCUGUACCGCUCUGCCCGGGGUUUUCCUGCUGCGAGGCAGCAGCGACUGUGGGAAAACUGCCGGCGUUGGGAUGCGGGGUGGCAGCCGGGCCCCGCAGCCCCUGCCCACCCCCAAUUAGCGCCCCCCCAAAUCAUCCCAGACGCGGAAACAGAA
rnacentral:lncRNA from 1 species